rnacentral:rRNA from 1 species
AUUGAACGCUGGCGGCAGGCCUAACACAUGCAAGUCGAGCGGCAGCGGGAAGUAGUUUACUACUUUGCCGGCGAGCGGCGGACGGGUGAGUAAUGUCUGGGAAACUGCCUGAUGGAGGGGGAUAACUACUGGAAACGGUAGCUAAUACCGCAUAACGUCUUCGGACCAAAGUGGGGGACCUUAGGGCCUCACGCCAUCGGAUGUGCCCAGAUGGGAUUAGCUAGUAGGUGGGGUAAUGGCUCACCUAGGCGACGAUCCCUAGCUGGUCUGAGAGGAUGACCAGCCACACUGGAACUGAGACACGGUCCAGACUCCUACGGGAGGCAGCAGUGGGGAAUAUUGCACAAUGGGCGCAAGCCUGAUGCAGCCAUGCCGCGUGUGUGAAGAAGGCCUUCGGGUUGUAAAGCACUUUCAGCGAGGAGGAAGGCCAAUAACUUAAUACGUUGUUGGAUUGACGUUACUCGCAGAAGAAGCACCGGCUAACUCCGUGCCAGCAGCCGCGGUAAUACGGAGGGUGCAAGCGUUAAUCGGAAUUACUGGGCGUAAAGCGCACGCAGG